UUUGGGGUGCUGGGCUUAUGCCUGGCUGAGAACAUACCCAUGGAAUCUGAUCCGGAUAAUACCGGCGUAGAGAAGUAAACUUAU
rnacentral:ncRNA from 1 species